UAGAAGUAUACACAAUGCAUCAAGAAGAAACGAGAAGGACGUUGUCGAGCGAGUAAUGUUGAACAGAGUGAGCGGCACCCCUCCCAGCCCUCCCUCUCGUUUUCUGUGCGUCUCUCCCUAUCUGCCGAAAGGAGCGCGCACCAUCAUUU
ensembl:ncRNA F52D10.11 ncRNA